rnacentral:rRNA from 1 species
UACGAAGGGUGCUAGCGUUGCUCGGAAUUACUGGGCGUAAAGGGUGCGUAGGCGGACGUUUAAGUCAGGGGUGAAAUCCUGGAGCUCAACUCCAGAACUGCCUUUGAUACUGGAGAGCUCGAGUCCGGAAGAGGUGAGUGGAACUGCGAGUGUAGAGGUGAAAUUCGUAGAUAUUCGCAAGAACACCAGUGGCGAAGGCGGCUCACUGGUCCGGUACUGACGCUGAGGUGCGAAAGCGUGGGGAGCAAACAGG